rnacentral:rRNA from 1 species
UACGUAGGGGGCAAGCGUUGUCCGAAUUUACUGGGCGUAAAGAGCGUGUAGGCGGCCAAACAGGUCCGUUGUGAAAACUGGAGGCUCAACCUCCAGACGUCGACGGAAACCGUGUGGCUAGAGUCCGGAAGAGGAGAGUGGAAUUCCUGGUGUAGCGGUGAAAUGCGCAGAUAUCAGGAAGAACACCAAUGGCGGAAGGCAGCUCUCUGGGACGGUACUGACGCUGAGACGCGAAAAGCGUGGGGAGCGAACAGG